GACAGAGGGUGCAAACGUUGCUCGGAAUUACUGGGCGUAAAGCGCGUGUAGGCGGUUUUGCACGUCCGGUGUGAAAGCCCAGGGCUCAACCCUGGAAGUGCACUGGAUACGACGAAGCUUGAGUACGGAAGAGGAGAGCGGAAUUCCCGGUGUAGAGGUGAAAUUCGUAGAUAUCGGGAGGAACACCAGUGGCGAAGGCGGCUCUCUGGACCGAGACUGACGCUGAGACGCGAAAGCGUGGGGAGCAAACAGG
rnacentral:rRNA from 1 species